rnacentral:rRNA from 1 species
AGAGUUUGAUCCUGGCUCAGAACGAACGCUGGCGGCAGGUCUUAGGCAUGCAAGUCGAACGAGUGAAGCAGGGCUUGCCCUGUGGAGCGAGUGGCGCACGAGUGAGUAACGCGUGGGAAACUGCCCAUUACUGGGGAAUAACGUUUGGAAACGAACGCUAAUACCGCAUACGCCCGCAAGGGGAAAGAUUUAUCGGUGAUGGAUGUGCCCGCGUUGGAUUAGCUUGUUGGUGGGGUAACGGCCUACCAAGGCAAUGAUCCAUAGCUGGUCUUAGAGGACGAUCAGCCACGCUGGAACUGAGACACGGUCCAGACUCCUACGGGAGGCAGCAGCUAAGAAUAUUGGGCAAUGGAGGAAACUCUGACCCAGCCAUGCCGCGUGAAUGAAGAAGGCCUUCGGGUUGUAAAGUUCUUUUAGUCGUGAAGAUGAUGACAGUAACGACAGAAAAAGCACCGGCUAACUUCGUGCCAGCAGCCGCGGUAAUACGAAGGGUGCAAGCGUUGUUCGGAUUUACUGGGCGUAAAGCGUCCGUAGGUGGUUUGUUAAGUCAGGGGUGAAAUCCCAGGGCCCAACCCUGGAACUGCCUUUGAUACUGGCAAGCUGGAGCGCGAUAGAGGAAGAUGGAACAUCUGGUGUAGGGGUGAAAUCCGUAGAUAUCAGAUAGAACACCAAUGGCGAAGGCAGUCUUCUGGAUCGUUGCUGACACUGAGGGACGAAAGCGUGGGUAGCAAACAGAAUUAGAUACUCUGGUAGUCCACGCCCUAAACGAUGCCUGCUUGUUGUUGGUUUCCUUCGGGGAAUCAGUGACGAAGCUAAC